UGAGGAAUAUUGGUCAAUGGACGAGAGUCUGAACCAGCCAAGUCGCGUGAAGGAAGACGGCCCUACGGGUUGUAAACUUCUUUUGUAAGGGAAUAAAUAGUCUUACGGGCUAAGACGUUGCAGGUACCUU
rnacentral:rRNA from 1 species